rnacentral:rRNA from 1 species
GGAAUAUUGGACAAUGGGCGCAAGCCUGAUCCAGCAAUGCCGCGUGAGUGAUGAAGGCCUUAGGGUUGUAAAGCUCUUUUACCCGGGAAGAUAAUGACUGUACCGGGAGAAUAAGCCCCGGCUAACUCCGUGCCAGCAGCCGCGGUAAUACGGAGGGGGCUAGCGUUGUUCGGAAUUACUGGGCGUAAAGCGUACGUAGGCGGCUUUGUAAGUUAGAGGUGAAAGCCCGGGGCUCAACCCCGGAAUUGCCUUUAAGACUGCAUCGCUUGAAUCGCGGAGAGGUGAGUGGAAUUCCGAGUGUAGAGGUGAAAUUCGUAGAUAUUCGGAAGAACACCAGUGGCGAAGGCGGCUCACUGGACGCGUAUUGACGCUGAGGUACGAAAGCGUGGGGAGCAAAC